UGAAAUAGUUCGAUCUUCCAGAAAACAGCAGAUAUUACAUCUCGUACCUUUUGCAUCAUGAUCUAGUUAGUACAUUUAAGCGAAGCGCCCUCUAGUUUAUCCCCCCGAAACCAGACGAGCUACCUCGGGACAAUUUUAUAGAAUGCACCCACCUCUGUGGCAAAAGAGGAGGGAAGAUCCCCAGGUAGAGGUGAAAGGCCUACCGAGUCUAGUUAUAGCUGGUUGCCUGGAAAAUGAAUAGAAGUUCAGCCCCCUAAACCCCCUAGCCAACAUAGGACCCCUUAACGCAGGCAACGGGCGAAGUAGGGGAGUUAGUCAAGAGAGGUACAGCUCUCCUGACCAAGGAAACAACCUGCCAAGGAGGUCGAGGAAUAAAGUUAUCAAAGGCAAGGGGUUUUGGUGGGCCUAAAAGCAGCCACCCCAGCAGAAAGCGUUACAGCUCAGACCCCCUCACGCCUAAUAUACCCUUAAGUUCUCCCCAGCCCCCCCCCCCUUACCAGGCCUUCCCAUGCAAACAUGGAAGAGAAGAUGCUAGAACGAGUAACAAGAAGAACGAACUUCUCCCCGCACAUGUGCUAGCCGGAUCGGACCUACCACCGGCAUAUAACGAACCCAACACCAGAGGGCAGCACGUCCCUCACUACGUUUAUCAAGAAAAGAGAGUGCCUCUUAUCGUUGACCCCACACAGGAGUGCUUACGGGAAAGACUUAAAGGGAGAAAAGGAACUCGGCAAACCAAAACCUCGCCUGUUUACCAAAAACAUCGCCUCCUGCCCUCACACCAUAGGAGGUCCCGCCUGCCCUGUGACCCAAAGUUUAACGGCCGCGGUAUUUUAACCGUGCAAAGGUAGCGCAAUCAAUUGUCUUUUAAAUGAAGACCUGUAUGAAUGGCAUCACGAGGGUUUAGCUGUCUCUUUUCCCCAGUCAGUGAAACUGAUCUGCCCGUGCAGAAGCGGGCAUACCCCCACAAGACGAGAAGACCCUAUGGAGCUUUAGGCGCCCGCUAACCGCAAAUAGCGGCCUCACCCCUAAUUGUCGCGGUUCUAUGCAAAGCGCCUUCGGUUGGGGCGACCACGGGAGAUAGCAAAGCUCCCGAGAGGAAAGGGCUUUUAGCCUGAAGCUCAGAGAGACAUCUCUAGGCCGCAGAACAUCUGACCUUGAAUGAUCCGGCUACUGCCGAUCAACGGACCAAGUUACCCUAGGGAUAACAGCGCAAUCCCCUCCCAGAGUCCAUAUCGACGAGGGGGUUUACGACCUCGAUGUUGGAUCAGGACAUCCUAAUGGUGCAGACGCUAUUAA
rnacentral:rRNA from 1 species